ACAAAGCAGCUGCUCAAUGCUAACACACGUCUGAAUGACCUGGACGAGGAGAUCUUCGAUGAUGAUGAUUUCUAUCACCAGCUUCUGUGGGUGCUUAUUGAAUGCAAGACAAGUGCUGCAGACCCCAACGACCAGGUGGCUAUGGGGAGGUUCCACAUCCACAGUAAGCUGGUGAACAUCAUGGCCCCAUCGACCACAGCUCCAUGAAUGUUGAUGCACGGCGAGUCUCUUAUUGUUCACGCAUUACAUGAGUAAAGGCAGCACUCUUCACUGACAUGCCAAUAUUGACCUGUUCUUCAACCUAUCACCUCCUCUAUCUUGGGGCUGGAAAUCACAGAGCUCAGUGUUCCUCUGUCCCGUCCUCUUGUCACAGCCAUCUGACACACUCACUACAGCCUCACUCACAAACCUGAAAUGACUGUCCCUAUAACAGCUACCCUCCCAUAAAUCUCUGAAUGCUGCUUUGCUCGGCGGCUCUCCUGCACUCACACACAUACUUUGUUCCCCUUUUAGCCUUUUUGUUGCCGUCGUCUGUAGUGGGUCAGUGUGAUUUCUAAAUGAGAUGAACAGGUUCUUCAGCUGUAAUGUAUUGACUGCUGAUAGUCCUAUUAUGUGAGUUUAUAAACGCCACAGCAGGACUGUUGUAGUCUUCCAUUUGCUAGUGGGCCCAUAUUGAUUCCAAGCACACACUGGAGACGGAGAGGACAGUAGAUGGCUAGUCCCCUGACUGUCCUCCUUAUCUGUCCUCCAGUACGUACUGUAGGUAGGUAGGGUAGUGCAGGCAGAGGUUGUGUUUACUGUGAGAUGACAGGUAUUCUAAACACGGUAAUAACUGACCAAUGGCGUGACCUUGCCCUGCCGUGUUUACAGCCCACCUCAUUUCCAUAGCAAUCAAUGGCCUACAGUAAUAAUGGUGAUGUAUGACCGUUGCAUCAGGCUGGUCACUGACCUUUCCCAGAGAGACACACUGGGUGACCUUUUGGAAUGAAUGCCCCGGCACAGCCCUCCUCACCCUCUAUAUCACCCUCCCUCCCGGCCCUCUUAUCUCUCUCCCCCACCACCGUAUCUCAAUGCUGCGCUGGCUUCACGGACGCAGUCCGCAAUGCUCCACUAGCUCCAUGAAUGUUAAUGUGAGGGGGGAGGGGGGCUGUCACAGACAGGUCCCACAUACAAUGCAGGAUCUAAACGCGGUUUGUUUAUUAAUAAAGGUACGUGGUGGAGUUGAGUGAGUGGGCUCUUUUUAUUUUAUACUGACUUUUUCCGGCCCUGCACCCACUAAAGGAUGUGCAUUUGAUCACUCUUGACACACACAUGCAAGUGUCAUGCAUACAUUUCAUGCACAUUGCACACCUGUGCACAUUUAAGUCCUUUAGAAGGUAUUUAGACAUUCAUCAUGGCACAUUUCUGCAUGUAAUAUAUAGGAGAUGCAAUUUGAGGCAGGCUGCACCUCCAACCACACUUCAGCUCCCCUGUUCUUCGUCUCCCGUCUUCUCUCCCUCGUACACACACACACACGCACACACACACACACGCACACACACACACACAGACACACACACACACACAGACACUAUUUUAGGCUGGGUUCUGAGCCUCCUCCCCUGUCUUCCCGGCGCUCCUCAGUAUUCCCCAGCCGAUAUUUACCGAGCUCAGGCGGAAUGAGAAUUUAUGCAUUAUGUGGUGAUGAUCAGAAUGUAUUGUAAUCCUUGACCCUGGUGGCGCAUUUCAAAUGAGGAUUGGGGAUUAAGCCCCUGUGGCUGGCUGACAGACACAUUGGCUCCCUGCCCCCUGAGAACAACACAAGGCUCCUCUUUAACACAACACAUUACACAGAUACAGGGACUGGGACCCUGCACUGACUGUUAUGCUGUAGUGGACACACAGAUUUGUAAUAGGUUAUAAUCUGUAUAGCAUGCUAUUGUAGGAGUGGUUACUUCUCUACCCUGGCCAACACAAACUAUAGGUUGUUUGACACCACUGCAGUUUUUGCUGAAGGUGCAGUGCGGGAGUGACAUGCUCUGAGCUAGUAGGAGAGAUGCACAGCAGAACAGAAGGCAGGAGCCAGGAGAUAAACACAUGCCUCUUCCUGUGGUCUGGCCCUCUCCUCUAAAGGCUUAUGAACAGCACCAGUCUAGAUUUUAGUUCAGAAUGGACCUGACUGAUUUGGAAUCUGCCUCAUUGACUUGAAGAUACGGUUUUCUUCAUUAGGUUUAAAUAUGUGAUUUUGAUACUAUCAGAAUUUUUUGGGGGGCCACACUUGUGAUGUGUGUUUUGUCCUAUAUUUCUAUUGUAUUUUAUUUUUAAUCCCAGGCCCCCGUCCCCGCAGGAGGCCUUUUGUCUUUCGGUAGGCCGUCAUUGUCAAUAAGAAUUUGUUUUUAACUGACUUUCCUGGUUAAAUAAAGGUUAAAUAAAAAUAAAUCAAUAAAAAGUUGUUUCUAUUAUCCCCAUUUUAUGUCUGUCAGGUGAAUUGUCUGCUGACCAAUGGAGGGAACUUAACCCACCCCAGAGUUGGUUGGUGAUUAAAUGUAUUGUUGUUUUUAAACUUAUUAUGGGGAAAAAAACACUUAAAAACCUAACAAGCCGCCAUGCCAAACCUAACAAAGCAAUUCCUUGUAACUUUCUCCAAACAAUCCCGUUCUCUCCGCUCCAGUAGAAGUAGUGGAGGAAGGGUCUGAUGCUGCAGUUUGUCAGUGAUUAGCGCUGGAAUUAGCCAGCCUAGCGUGCCUCUAGAAAUGAGCAAAGCCCUCUGGGAGACCGGAGAGGCCAGGCAAGGCGCAUUUCCAAUUAUACCACCAAAUUACUCAUUUUGUUAUUGGGUCUCCCAUAAUUGUGAUGGGUAUUGGGUGUAUGCAACUCAAUUUGUCUUACAUAUUUGUUGGUAGGAUGGUAAUAGAGUUGACAGAGCCAAGGGGACAAUAUGAAAGUGAGACACGAAAAACAACUAAAGGGAUGAGAUGGAUUCUUCACUAUUUGUUUGAUUAGUCUCAUCCCUCUUAAGACGGUUGAAGUUUAAAAGCCCAUAAAUGUUUUUAAAAAAUGGGUUGAAAAGUGGGUUGAGGCAUGAGAAGAGAAGAUAAUUUCAGAGUAAUCAGAAUGUCUCUCCCCAAGUAUUAUACUUCUCUCACUGCAUUUGGCAGAAUUGCUGAAGUAUGAUGGUGGUGUGAUAAUCUAUCAUGGAUCAUCUAUUUCUCCAGGGGCUAGGCCACCGUCACUUUGCCAUGAAGAGAUUUUUAUGUGGAUUAUAGUACACUGAACAAAAAUAUACAGUAAACACAACAUGUAAAGUGUUGGUUAAAUGUUUCAUGAGCUGAAAUAAAAGAUUCCAGGAAUGUUCUAUAUGCACAAAAAGCUUAUUUCUCCAAAAUGUUCUUAACAAAUUCAUUUAUAUCCCUGUUAGUAAGCAUUUGUCCUUUGCCAAGAUAAUCCAUCCACCUGACAGUUGUGGCAUAUCAAGAAGAUGAUUAAACAGCAUGGUCAUUACAUAGGUGCACCUUGUGCUGUGGACAAUAAAAGGCCACUCUAAAAUGUGCAGUUUUGUCACACAACACAAUACCACAGGUGUUUCAAGUUGAGAGGGAGCAUGCAGUUGGCCCACUGACUGCAGGACUGUCCACCAGAGCUAUUGCUAGAGAAUUGAAUGUUCAUUUUUCUACCAUAAGCCUUCAACAUCGUUUUAGAGUAUUUGGCAGUACGUCCAACAAAGCCUCACAACC